rnacentral:rRNA from 1 species
UACGUAGGGGGCAAGCGUUAUCCGGAUUUACUGGGUGUAAAGGGAGCGUAGACGGUUGUGCAAGUCUGAAGUGAAAGCCCGCGGCUCAACUGCGGAACGGCUUUGGAAACUGUGCAACUGGAGUGCUGGAGAGGUAAGCGGAAUUCCUGGUGUAGCGGUGAAAUGCGUAGAGAUCAGGAGGAACACCGGCGGCGAAGGCGGCUUACUGGACAGUAACUGACGUUGAGGCUCGAAAGCGUGGGGAGCAA